rnacentral:rRNA from 1 species
UGAGUAACACGUAUGCAACCUGCCUGCCACAGCCGGAUAAUCGGGAGAAAUUCCGUCUAAUACGGCAUAAUGCAUCGACGGGACAUCCUGUUGGUGCCAAAGGUUAAUUCCGGUGGCGGAUGGGCAUGCGUCGCAUUAGUUAGUUGGCGGUGUAACGGACCACCAAGACGACGAUGCGUAGGGGUUCUGAGAGGAAGGUCCCCCACACUGGUACUGAGACACGGGCCAGACUCCUACGGAAGGCAGCAG